GACGAACGCUGGCGGCGUGCUUAACACAUGCAAGUCGAACGGAAAGGCCCCUUCGGGGGUCCUCGAGUGGCGAACGGGUGAGUAACACGUGAGUAACCUGCCCUUGACUUCGGGAUAACUUCAGGAAACUGGGGCUAAUACCGGAUAGGAAUCCUUGCUGCAUGGUGGGGGUUGGAAAGCUUCGGCGGUUUUGGAUGGACUCGCGGCUUAUCAGCUUGUUGGUGGGGUAGUGGCUUACCAAGGCUUUGACGGGUAGCCGGCCUGAGGGCGACCGGCCACAUUGGGACUGAGAUACGGCCCAGACUCCUACGGGAGGCAGCAGUGGGGAAUAUUGCACAAUGGGCGGAAGCCUGAUGCAGCAACGCCGCGUGCGGGAUGACGGCCUUCGGGUUGUAAACCGCUUUCAGCAGGGGCGAAGCUUGUGGUGACGGUACCUGCAGAAGAAGCACCGGCUAACUACGUG
rnacentral:rRNA from 1 species